rfam:Canis lupus familiaris chromosome 2, whole genome shotgun sequence.
AGGAGGAACAACCCCAGUGGUAGCGGCCAGCUCUGGAGCCCUGGAGUCAGCUCCCGCAGUUACUAUGGAGCUCUCAGCCUGCAGGGGCCUGGAUGCUCCGGGGGCGG